rnacentral:rRNA from 1 species
AUGAGGGAAGCUCGCAAGAGCAAGGAUACAGGUGGUGCAUGGUUGUCGUCAGCUCGUGUCGUGAGUUGUUGGGUUAAGUCCCGCAACGAGCGCAACCCUUGUUGUUAAUUGCUAACAGGUUAAGCUGAGCACUUUAGCGAGACAGCCUAGGUUAACUAGGAGGAAGGUGGGGAUGACGUCAAAUCAUCAUGCCCCUUACGUUUAGGGCUACACACGUGCUACAAUGGUGAGAACAGAGAGAAGCAAGCUAGUGAUAGUGAGCAAAACUUAUAAAACUCAUCUCAGUUCGGAUUGCAGGCUGAAACUCGCCUGUAUGAAGAUGGAGUUGCUAGUAAUCGCGAAUCAGAAUGUCGCGGUGAAUACGUUCCCGGGUCUUGUACACACCGCCCGUCACACCAUGAGAGUUGGCAACACCCGAAACCUGUGGGCUAACCAUAUAGGAGGCAGCAGUCUAAGGUGGGGUCAGUGAUUGGGGUGAAGUCGUAACAAGGUAGCCGUAGGAGAACCUGCGGUUGGAU